rnacentral:sRNA from 1 species
ACGAGAGUCGAUGAAUCGAGAGAUGAAGAUGAAGCGAGCUAUGGAGCACUCUAAUAUGGCGGAAGGAUAAUAACCCACAAAGGGACUGUAGAAGUUCCUUAUCCUCGAAAUUGGCAUCAGAGGAGAUCGUAUCUAGCAAUAGAUGCGUCGUGAACACGAAAGUGUCAUGCGGCGACAAAGAGCGCCAGUAACUCCCAUGUGUACCGGGCGACAUAGGAGAUUGAAUAAUCAGCGUACACUCACA